rnacentral:tRNA from 1 species
GGCCGGGUGGCAGAGUGGUUAUGCAGCGGACUGCAAAUCCGCAUAGGUCGGUUCAAUUCCGGCCCCGGCCUCCA